GACGAACGCUGGCGGCGUGCUUAACACAUGCAAGUCGAACGGAAAGGCCCUGCUUUUGUGGGGUGCUCGAGUGGCGAACGGGUGAGUAACACGUGAGUAACCUGCCCUUGACUUUGGGAUAACUUCAGGAAACUGGUGCUAAUACCGGAUAGGAGCUCCUGCCGCAUGGUGGGGGUUGGAAAGUUUCGGCGGUUGGGGAUGGACUCGCGGCUUAUCAGCUUGUUGGUGGGGUAGUGGCUUACCAAGGCUUUGACGGGUAGCCGGCCUGAGAGGGUGACCGGCCACAUUGGGACUGAGAUACGGCCCAGACUCCUACGGGAGGCAGCAGUGGGGAAUAUUGCACAAUGGGCGGAAGCCUGAUGCAGCAACGCCGCGUGCGGGAUGACGGCCUUCGGGUUGUAAACCGCUUUCGCCUGUGACGAAGCGUGAGUGACGGUAAUGGGUAAAGAAGCACCGGCUAACUACGUG
rnacentral:rRNA from 1 species